rnacentral:rRNA from 1 species
ACAGCAGUCGCCGCGGGGAAUACGGAGGGGGCUAGCGUUGUUCGGAAUUACUGGGCGUAAAGCGUACGUAGGCGGCUUUGUAAGUUAGAGGUGAAAGCCUGGUGCUCAACACCAGAACUGCCUUUAAGACUGCAUCGCUUGAACGUCGGAGAGGUGAGUGGAAUUCCGAGUGUAGAGGUGAAAUUCGUAGAUAUUCGGAAGAACACCAGUGGCGAAGGCGGCUCACUGGACGACUGUUGACGCUGAGGUACGAAAGCGUGGGGAGCAAACAGGAUUAGAUACCCGCGUAGUCCCUGUCUCUUAUU